GCAGCGUAGCUGAACAUCUUACGGAUGGCCCAGGGCUCCAAAGGCUCGUUUCCUAAGUGAGAGAGAGCCUGGCUGAAGCUGUAUUACCAUUCAUUCUCCAGCCUCCGAAGUCUCAAAGCAUCACUUCCACCAUACUCUAACUGUCAAGACAAACACAAAGGCCCAGAAACUGCCAGACUGUCUUCUGAAGUGGCUAUAAUAUUUACACUCCCAUCAGCAGUGUAGAAGGGGUCUCACUAUGUUGUCUGGAGUGCUGUGGUGGAGUGGAGUGGCUAUUCACAGAGCCUGUUCUGCUGGGACACAGAAUCACUUGCUCCAUCUCAUACAUUGAUGAUGAUUAAUUUGUAUGUGUACCUUCCAAAAAAGAUGGUUGUGUUUGAAUGGAGGCCUUCUGGACAGGAAAAUUGCAAAGUACAAUUAACAUUUGAGUCUGUCUGAGUCAUGAAGAAAUGGAGAUUACUGAAAAUAAUUCAUUUUGGUAUCUUCUUACAUCCUGAGAGACUAAUCUUUCCAAGUUCAUCUGAGGCUCCUCUUCUCCAUGACAACCUCAUCCAGGGAUUUCUUCCUGUCCUGGUGUUUUAUGACAUCAUCCUCAUCUCGCUUGUAAGGAUAAUAGCCUUCCUCCAAACCUCACACACUUUUGGAGGAGAUCACUUUUUUUAAAGUGCAUGGAAAUGUUUUGAAACAGUGAAAUCUAUAAUGAUAGGUUUCAUAAUUCUAACAUCCACACCAUAUGAAUCACAUCCUUCCUGAGAUAAUGAGCACACAAUUGCCUGGAUACCUGAAGGAAUGGAGACAGCGGCAGAAAACACUGCAGAGAGGUGGAAACAUCCGUUAAUAUUUUAAAAUCCCAUUACUGCUACCAACAAUAAUAAUGGAUGCAUAGAAAUAGAUCUGGAUUAGCUGAGCUUGAAACAGUCCAUCUCACACACACACAAAAGAAUUUCAGAUACAGUGAACCCACAUGUUGAAGCUUUCUAGUAUAAUAAAAAUUUCAACUGUUCUGUUGAAUCAUCUGCCUGAUUGGAGGCUACAGAAAAGAUGUCAUCUUAGGAGUGCUUGCUCUGAGUGAGGCUCAUCUUCAAAUCUGAAUGACCACAAGGAGAUUUGAUUAUACAUGUGAACACCUCAGAAGGCACAGCCCACCCAGAAGGCAGACAGGUCAGGCUGCUUUUUCUUCAUUGCUUGGAUUCAAUCCUCCGGGCGGCUCAGGCUCAAACAUAACUUAAGCAUGAUUAAACUUUAGAAGAAGCUGCCAGGAAGACUGUGAAAUCUUCAUGCCCAAGGAUCCCUAAAAUUAGGAGCAACAACCACUUGGCUCAGACGGUUUAUGGAGGCAAAGGUUUGGAUGGGAUUAGAGAUUUCUAAAUGUGAGUUCGUGUCCUCUGCCAGACCACCUUACUUCCACCAUUCCUCAGCAAAUCAAGAAAAACAGGAGAAAAGACAUGCCUUUCCAUAAGUUAAAUCUAUUCUGUUUUAAUUCUAUAUUAUAUCUGCUGUACAACUUCUUUUGUUUGUAACACCAUAUUGUUGCUAGUAACUGGAAAUUAAUUUUCACAUGCCUCAGCUUAGAAAAAUAAAAAGCAGCCCUGCAUCAAUCCCA
rnacentral:lncRNA from 1 species